UUCUUCACUUAUUCCUGCUUGCUGUUUAUAAACGCUUAUAAAUUACCUGGAGAAUGUCACACACAAAUUUACAUAACACUAUGAGGUUGCAGCUGACUACACAGUAGACGUCACGAAGAGUGCCAGUAUCGCUACACCAGCAGAUGCAUUCAAUACUAGCGUGAAUCCGACAUGCGCGGGAGGGGGUACUCCAUGUUGUUGCUCGUUGGGACACCAGCUUACAGCAGAAUUUUACGUCUUCUUCAGAGAGUGUUACGAGGGUAUGUGCCUCGAUUAUGUCAUCACCGACCGGCUGAAAGAUCGACGUAGAUUGAAAGUUCUUCCAGUAACUGACUGCUAAGAGCUUGACCUAAGGCUUGUAUAAAUACUGAAACAAAUAUAUUUAGCCCAAAUGUACCUUCUCCUGAUGAAUGAUUGCCACCUUGAAAAAGCCAGAAUGGUUUCCACUAAGGAAAACUUGAAGGUUAGCCAACAAGAUACACACUACAAUGCAAGACUCAAGUCUUCUGUAGCAUCUGCUUCCCCAUCAACAUCACUUUCUUCACAACAGUCUGAGCCGGCCGCGGUGGUCUAGCGGUUCUGGCGCUGCAGUCUGGAACCGCGGGACUGCUACGUCGCAGGUUCGAAUCCUGCCUCGGGCAUGGGUGUGUGUGAUGUCCUUAGGUUAGUUAGGUUUAAGUAGCUCUAAGUUCUAGGGGACUUAUGACCUAAGAUGUUGAGUCCCAUAGUGCUCAGAGCCAUUUUUUUUCACAACAGCCUAAAUGCAGUAACUAUAGCUGUGCUGCAAGUUUAUACAAAAGUGUUAUAAGUAACAGUAUUUUAUACAAUGACUCAAGAGGUCUGCAUGGUUCUUCUGAAUUACACAAUUCUGUAAAGAAGUUUGGUGAAACUAUGUGGCUUCAGUAUUUAAAUACUGCCAAUGAGGUAAGUGCUUUUUUAUAUAGCUUUAUUUUGUGAUUUAGAAAAAAUAAUUUCUGUAUUUCUGCAUAGUGACCAGACAUUAAUGUCACUAGCAUUGCUCAGAAGAGAAGGUUGUUACAUAUUUUGCUACUACACCUUCUUUAUUUGUGAAUUAUUUUCAACAUUCUACAAGUACUGCUAGGACAUUUGUGCAUAUGGUAUUGAACAAUGAUGUAGUUGUUAAUCCUUGUAAAGUUUGGCGGUAUUAUUCGUACUUGGUGCAUAGUGAACUACAUUGCAAGAUUUGAUUUAUGUGUGCAGUUUAUAACUAAAAGGGUAACAUGAAACUUUUCUCAAACAAGUGAAAACAUUGGUCUGGACUAGGAGUUCAUUCCAGGUACCUGUCUGGUAUGGACAGAUCUUCUCCAAUUGUACCGUAUAAGUAGGGCCUUAGGAUUGAUUCAAAAUGUCAGCUUACUACAAAGACCUAUCCAUUCAUUUCCAACAAAUGCCUGAAUUGGAAAUUCACUGUUUACAAAACGUGAUUCUGAUUCAGGUCUGCACUCCUUAGUAAUUUGUAGCAAAUAUUUGUAUCAGUAGACACUUAGCAUCAAAUGCCGUCUCUAGACUAUGUGCUUAGGUCAUUAGCAAGUACUCUAACAUUUUAUUAGAGUUUAACAUAAAUUGUGUAUGUUGGCCUCUUUGCUCAUGGACCACUGAACCCAGUAAAAGGAAAAUAUAAGGAUCUUCUUAAUGCAUGAUUUUUAUUUGCCUUGUGCAUCGUAUUGCAGGUUUAUCAAAUUGUUAAUGGGUGUGGUGUACAGUCAUGUACCAAUUUUUACUUAAUUUUGAGGUUAUAAGUGCUAUUAUGGACUAUAAAAAAUACAUGGAAGUCACAGGUUGUGAGCUGACUACUUUCUGUAACUGUCCAUUCCAAUUUAUACAUCAUUCUUAAUCAAGAUUUGGAUUAACAUGUCAUACAUAGGUGUGGAGUCAUCUAUCUUAUCCAUAAAACAAUUUACAUGUCUGGAUGCUAGCUUUUACAAGGAUGGUCAGUAAUCACUUACUUAGUAGUAAACACACAGUGAAAUGAGCAACACAUAAGUAUGAACAUUUGAAACUUAAGAACUUUGUGUACCUAGGGGAUAAAAACAUAGUGGUGCUGGCAAGUACAAAGAGUUCUUCUCGUGUGUAAUCAUAAAAUUUGUCAUUUUGUUGUACUUUGAAGCAAAAUAUUUGUGAAAUGUAACGAAUAAUAAAAAAACAAAAAUACAAAA